AGAAGAUGUGGUAUGAGUGCCAAUGAGACAACUCUCCAUCCAAGUCAAAAUUUAUAAAAGUAAACCAUUAUAGGUCACAGUACGGUCUUCAACACGGACCCUUGGCUCACACCGAACAGUAAGCUAUAAAGGGCCCCAAAAAAUUACUAGUGUUAAACCAUUUAAACGGGAAAACCAACGGUCUAAUCUAUAUAAAAAACGAGAAACGAGAAACACUUAUGAACCACAUCAACAAACGACAACUACUGAACAUCAGAUUCCUGACUUAGGACAGGUGCAAAUAAAUGCAGCGGGUUUAAACGUUUUAAUGGUACCAAACCUUCACCCUUUUUCUGAAACAAUAGUGUAACAUCACAACAUAGAAAGACACACUAUAAAAUAUCAACUGAAAUAGCUUAACUCAAUCAAAGGACAUAUUAACACCU